AACGAACGCUGGCGGCAUGCCUAACACAUGCAAGUCGAACGAAGGCUUCGGCCUUAGUGGCGCCCGGGUGUGUAACGCGUGGGAAUCUGCCCUUUGGUUCGGACUAACAGCUGGAAACGGCUGCUAAUACCGGAUGAUGACGAAAGUCCAAAGAUUUUUCGCCAGAGGAUGAGCCCGCGUUGGAUUAGGUAGUUAGUAGGGUAAAGGACUACCAAGCGGUCGAUCCAUAGCUUGUCUGAGAGGAUGAUCAGCCACACUGGGACUGAGACACGGCCCAGACUCCUACGGGAAGCAGCAGUGGGUAAUAUUGGACAGUGGGCGCAAGCCUGAUCCAGCAAUGCCGCGAGAGUGAUGAAGGCCCUAGAGUUGUAAAGCUCUUUUACCCGUGAAGAUAAUGACGGUACCGGGAGAAUAAGCCCCGGCUAACUCCGUG
rnacentral:rRNA from 1 species